UACGGAGGAUGCAAGCGUUAUCCGGAUUCAUUGGGUUUAAAGGGUGCGCAGGCGGAAUGAUAAGUCAGUGGUGAAAUCCUGCAGCUUAACUGCAGAACUGCCAUUGAUACUGUUGUUCUUGAGUAUAGUUGAAGUGGGCGGAAUGUGUCAUGUAGCGGUGAAAUGCUUAGAUAUGACACAGAACACCGAUCGCGAAGGCAGCUCGCUAAGCUAUAACUGACGCUCAUGCACGAAAGCGUGGGGAUCAAACAGGAUUAGAUACCCUGGUAGUCCACGCUGUAAACGAUGAUUACUCGAUGUUGGCGAUAUACAGUCAGCGUCUAAGCGAAAGCAUUAAGUAAUCCACCUGGGGAGUACGUUCGCAAGGAUGAA
rnacentral:rRNA from 1 species